rnacentral:antisense_RNA from 1 species
CCUCUGCCCAGUCUUCAACCCCUGCCUUUGGAGUCCGUGGAGGAAAAGACCAGAAACAGGAGCCCAGAGACCAUUCCAGACUCACCAGACUGGGAUCCCAGGGACAGGACACUUAGGGAAGAGCAGAGAGGACAUGGCCUGGUCAGGUAAAAAGGUAAGGAUGAAGACACUGGUCCAAGGUGACUCCCAAUGCCUGAAUCACAUGGCUGCUUCCUGCUGCCACAAUCCACUGACUUAUAGGGGAAGUAAACAGGAGCCCCUGAGAUCAUCUUAAUUCAGAAAUCUUCAAAUGUUUCUACUAAAUGAGAUUAAAAAAA